rnacentral:sRNA from 1 species
CUGCAAGAGUCACCACAUUUGCAGGAGGAGCCACAUCCACAGUUAGAAUCUGCCAUUUCUCUUACUUCUCUUUGAUUGAUUAACUAUUGUAGUUUCUUCUUCUUCUUAUGAUGCUUUUGU